ensembl:lncRNA
CAAUCCAUCACAAACCUGCUGGGGAAGGUGCAAGGACAGAAUUCCAUAUCCAUUCAUGUUUGUCUGGUGGAAAGGACACGUAUGUGUAUUUUCCGUGAGGACGUUUUUUUUUUUUGUUCUUUUAUUUACCAAAUUGUCAUCUGAAUACACUAAUCAAGGAUUUGGUUUUUGUAUUGGACCUAAAUUCACUCGCUGUAACGCAUCGUUUUACCCGGAGGUAUACAAGAUACUAAUUAUUAAUGGAUAUUUCUCUGUCUGUUAAAAAUGUUUCAAUAUUUUAAAUUGUACAGAAAUGUGGGUACGUGUUUGCUUAAGUGCUACCCAAUUUGACAAUGUUAUAAUUGAGUUAGAUCAUAUUUUUUUACAAACGCUAACGUAUGUUGUAUCUAUUGACUAUCUGCAAAUUGUUUAGUUGAGUAAAUAGGUUGAAGAGUGGAAUGUAAAUAGAAUAACUAGGAGUAAGUGGUGAUGGAACCAUGGAUUUGAUUCCCGAUGGGGACAUUCCUUUUGUUAAUUAAAAACAUAGAGAGAGAGUUACCAUGCUGUGUAUGUGCUGUACUUAGUUGUAGGGAUACUAAAAGCACUCAUAGCAAAUAUCAAGACUUGACUGCAAGACCUGUUAUGGGUUACUGGCACUAUAUUUUCACUAUGGUAGUUUUGAAUUGACCAGACAUUAGUAAAUAAUUGGUGUUAAGACUAGCAAUAAGCUAUCUUGAUACAGAUCAUACAAUACUGAAGGAAUGUUCUGGAUUCACCACAUAAAUGGUAUUUGACUACUUCACCCUGUACUUUAAGCCAAACUGUUUGAUGGCACUAUGAUAUUAUUUCUGUGGUCUGAAUACGCACUCGUAACUUGUCCACUUGAACAGCUAAAUGCAGUAAAAGCAAAAAGAUGCUGGAAUAAGUAUAUUGGUUACUAGAAAAUGUGUGAUUCCAACCCUGGAUGCUGAUUGGCUGAAAGCCAUGUUAUAUUAGACCACACAACACAGGGACAACAAAACAUUACUUUUUGGCAAUAAGGAACCUCAGGGGGUUGUGGUAUGUGCAAAUAUAACCCACCCCUUGUGCCUUGUUGCUUAACUAACAUGCUCCCAUUGUCUCAAGCUUUUUGCUUGCUUUCCUCCUCGCUGCUACGUUCUGAUUGACUUAACCAUAAUCAUGCCAUAUGUUAGAUCACAGAGUUUUAAGCUGCAUGUAAUGGCAGAUUUACAGACCUCCAUAGAAUUCUGCCUCUACCUAUCACCUGGGAUUUAGAUUCUACACACCACUUGUGCCUUAACCCAUGCCAUAAAACAUUAGAAACCAUAAAGUGAAACCCUACAGAUCCACACCGUUUUGCAAAGUUCUGUGCUGGGAUGUCAAACAAAAUAAAACUGUAGAAAGACUGGAUAUGACAUCAUGACACAGUUAGGGGCACUGUCUGAGUAGUGAUACUGUAGGCAGACACAUCAUUGUUUAAUCUGUCGACUAUAGCGACUGUUUGAAAUGACAUUUGUCCACAUUAGAGGUCCCUCUCUUGCAAUAGUAAAAAUACUGGCAGUGUCAUACAAUAUAUAGGUUCUGAAUCUAGAGCUGAAAUACAGAGGAGAAAUCAAGUCAUUGGUAAACUGAUAGCCUUAGGGAUGUAUAUUGUUUCGUGUUGAAUUGACAAGGGACAUUUGACAUGUAUCAGGGAAAAUGUUGUCUUCCUUAGUUUAUACUAGCUCAGGACAUAGCAAGGUACUGUUCUCCCUUUUUCCUCUUUUUCCAGUGAUUUUAUAGUGCUCUAUCAUACAGCACACAAUAAUGAUAGUAAUAAAUAAUACCAUUUUAGAAAUUAUAAGGGCAGCAUAUACAGGAAUAAGAUUUUUAUUUUGUAGUAAUUUUCUAAUGUCAUGGAGGUGAUGCAGUGGUUUUGUGGCUAGUGUCAAAGGCUGGAAAAAGUCUCUGGAUGUUUUGUUGAUGUAUGCUGUUGCUUGGUAACAAUACUGUAAAUGUUGACGAAUGUACUGUAUAUCUAGUCAUUUAAACAAUAAACAAGUUCACUUUGAAAUGAUUUCAAAAUAAAUUACUUU